GUCAACUGUGAAAGCAGGUUCUCACAACCUCUGUUGACGUUUACUGUGUGUGUUGACCUUUUUCUAGCACGAUGUUGUAGUCCUUCUAGAUGGGCAAUGCUAAAUUACAAGCCUGUUAACAAAUAUAAAUGGCCUACAUCUAAAAUGUAUGAUAGCUCCUCCAGUCUGCUCCUGUCUCUUUUUUGUAUACAGGCCUGUAAAAAAGUUGCAUAGUGUACCUUGACGAAAAAAGAGCAGAGCAUUACCUUACAUAACGAAAAUAUAUCUUAUCAUCAGGUUGGUUAAUUUUCCAUUUCAGGCUACACCCUAAAUUUGCUAUUUUUGUUUAAAAGUAAACUGAAAGCAAAAAAAGCGAUAGCAUUGUAUAAAAACUUUUGAAAAUAGUUAUUGUGGGUUUUUUUUUAAUAUCCGUUCAUAGUUAAAUAGAAAUAAUUCAAAGACUGACAGCUGUUUUUUUCUUAAAUCAUUUAUCAUAUAACUCAUGCUACAGCAGGUUCAAAGGAAAAACUCAAGUCAUUAAAUCAAUGACAGAUUUCUGAAGCUCCGUUAUUGAUUCACCCUCCGGAAUAAUCACUCACUCCAGUUUCUGUUUUAGUUGGAAGUAAAUGAAAUACAGAAAACAGGGGGAGGAAAACACUACCACACAAUACGCUGUAUUUGUGACUUCACGUUUCAGUUUCAACACUUCUCUGGCACUGCUCUGUUGGCGUGCAAGUUAUUAUAAUGCAACACUAGAACAAGAAAGUAUCCUUUCAGUGCAAGUAAGGGGACACUAUUGGGAAAUUAUGAAGCUAUAAAAGACAAGAAAACAAACCCAAUCAAGUCUCCCUAUCCUUGCCGCCCCUGAUUGGAUCAUGAUGUGCGAUGCAGAAAUGCAGGGAGCGGAGGGAACAGAUGGUGUGUAGCUGCUUGACUCCGACUGCGCCGGUUGCUGACACUUUCCAUCUGAAGGUUUUUUCCAUCUUUGGGGAGGAGUGUUGAUGACAUGACAUGUUCAGUGUCAGUUGCAGA
rnacentral:lncRNA from 1 species